rnacentral:sRNA from 1 species
GUUCUAUGGUCGGGUUGUUGUCUCUUUGACACAUUCCUCAUUUCCAUUCUCAAUUUUAUGGUGUACAAAAUGUUUCGAAACUGGUAUGAAAUUAAUAUGUAAAUACCUGUUGAUGUAUAUGAUAUAAAAUUCAGAAUGGAAAUGGGAAUGUGCAAAGAGACAACAACCUGACCAUAGAA